UACGAAGGGGGCUAGCGUUGCUCGGAAUUACUGGGCGUAAAGCGCACGUAGGCGGUCUUUUAAGUCGGGGGUGAAAUCCUGGAGCUCAACUCCAGAACUGCCUUCGAUACUGGAAGACUUGAGUCCGGGAGAGGUGAGUGGAAUUCCGAGUGUAGAGGUGAAAUUCGUAGAUAUUCGCAAGAACACCAGUGGCGAAGGCGGCUCACUGGCCCGGUACUGACGCUGAGGUGCGAAAGCGUGGGGAGCAAACAGG
rnacentral:rRNA from 1 species